ACUAAGCGUACACGGUGGAUGCCCUGGCAGUCAGAGGCGAUGAAGGACGUGCUAAUCUGCGAUAAGCGCCGGUAAGGUGAUAUGAACCGUUAUAACCGGCGAUUUCCGAAUGGGGAAACCCAGUGUGAUUCGUCACACUAUCAUUAACUGAAUCCAUAGGUUAAUGAGGCGAACCGGGGGAACUGAAACAUCUAAGUACCCCGAGGAAAAGAAAUCAACCGAGAUUCCCCCAGUAGCGGCGAGCGAACGGGGAGGAGCCCAGAGCCUGAAUCAGCAUGUGUGUUAGUGGAAGCGUCUGGAAAGGCGCGCGAUACAGGGUGACAGCCCCGUACACAAAAGCGCAUGUGUUGUGAGCUCGAUGAGUAGGGCGGGACACGUGGUAUCCUGUCUGAAUAUGGGGGGACCAUCCUCCAAGGCUAAAUACUCCUGACUGACCGAUAGUGAACCAGUACCGUGAGGGAAAGGCGAAAAGAACCCCGGCGAGGGGAGUGAAAAAGAACCUGAAACCGUGUACGUACAAGCAGUGGGAGCUGAGGGAAAGGCGAAAAGAACCCCGGCGAGGGGAGUGAAAAAGAACCUGAAACCGUGUACGUACAAGCAGUGGGAGCCCCACCACUAAGCCAGUGGUGAACUCCACAUACGCAUCCUUUGCUGAGGAUACGGUUAACGGAGCGCAAGCGACGUUCAACCGCAAAAGAAGCAGAGGGGGCUUAGUGGUGGGGUGACUGCGUACCUUUUGUAUAAUGGGUCAGCGACUUAUAUUCUGUAGCAAGGUUAACCGUAUAGGGGAGCCGCAGGNGUGACUGCGUACCUUUUGUAUAAUGGGUCAGCGACUUAUAUUCUGUAGCAAGGUUAACCGUAUAGGGGAGCCGCAGGGAAACCGAGUCUUAACCGGGCGUUAAGUUGCAGGGUAUAGACCCGAAACCCGGUGAUCUAGCCAUGGGCAGGUUGAAGGUUGGGUAACACUAACUGGAGGACCGAACCGACUAAUGUUGAAAAAUUAGCGGAUGACCUGUGGCUGGGGGUGAAAGGCCAAUCAAACCGGGAGAUAGCUGGUUCUCCCCGAAAGCUAUUUAGGUAGCGCCUCGUGAAUUCAUCUCCGGGGGUAGAGCACUGUUUCGGCUAGGGGGCCAUCCCGGCUUACCAACCCGAUGCAAACUGCGAAUACCGGAGAAUGUUAUCACGGGAGACACACGGCGGGUGCUAACGUCCGUCGUGAAGAGGGAAACAACCCAGACCGCCAGCUAAGGUCCCAAAGUCAUGGUUAAGUGGGAAACGAUGUGGGAAGGCCCAGACAGCCAGGAUGUUGGCUUAGAAGCAGCCAUCAUUUAAAGAAAGCGUAAUAGCUCACUGGUCGAGUCGGCCUGCGCGGAAGAUGUAACGGGGCUAAACCAUGCACCGAAGCUGCGGCAGCGANGUAAUAGCUCACUGGUCGAGUCGGCCUGCGCGGAAGAUGUAACGGGGCUAAACCAUGCACCGAAGCUGCGGCAGCGAACGUAUCACUUAAAGCGAUUCAGCGGGUUACGAUUGACGGAGCGAAGCGACGUCAAAGCGUAUACAAAGUCGAGUCGGUUUAAGGAUACGUUCGUUGGGUAGGGGAGCGUUCUGUAAGCCUGUGAAGGUGGCCUGUGAGGGUUGCUGGAGGUAUCAGAAGUGCGAAUGCUGUUGGGUAGGGGAGCGUUCUGUAAGCCUGUGAAGGUGGCCUGUGAGGGUUGCUGGAGGUAUCAGAAGUGCGAAUGCUGACAUAAGUAACGAUAAAGCGGGUGAAAAGCCCGCUCGCCGGAAGACCAAGGGUUCCUGUCCAACGUUAAUCGGGGCAGGGUGAGUCGACCCCUAAGGCGAGGCCGAAAGGCGUAGUCGAUGGGAAACGGGUUAAUAUUCCCGUACUUGGUGUUACUGCGAAGGGGGGACGGAGAAGGCUAUGUUGGCCGGGCGACGGUUGUCCCGGUUUAAGCGUGUAGGUGUGUGUUCCAGGUAAAUCCGGUUCACUUUAACACUGAGGCGUGAUGACGAGGCACUACGGUGCUGAAGCAACAAAUGCCCUGCUUCCAGGAAAAGCCUCUAAGCAUCAGGUAACAUCAAAUCGUACCCCAAACCGACACAGGUGGUCAGGUAGAGAAUACCAAGGCGCUUGAGAGAACUCGGGUGAAGGAACUAGGCAAAAUGGUGCCGUAACUUCGGGAGAAGGCACGCUGACAUGUAGGUGAAGUGAUUUACUCAUGGAGCUGAAGUCAGUCGAAGAUACCAGCUGGCUGCAACUGUUUAUUAAAAACACAGCACUGUGCAAACACGAAAGUGGACGUAUACGGUGUGACGCCUGCCCGGUGCCGGAAGGUUAAUUGAUGGGGUCAGCGCAAGCGAAGCUCCUGAUCGAAGCCCCGGUAAACGGCGGCCGUAACUAUAACGGUCCUAAGGUAGCGAAAUUCCUUGUCGGGUAAGUUCCGACCUGCACGAAUGGCGUAAUGAUGGCCAGGCUGUCUCCACCCGAGACUCAGUGAAAUUGAACUCGCUGUGAAGAUGCAGUGUACCCGCGGCAAGACGGAAAGACCCCGUGAACCUUUACUAUAGCUUGACACUGAACAUUGAGCCUUGAUGUGUAGGAUAGGUGGGAGGCUUUGAAGCGUGGACGCCAGUCUGCGUGGAGCCGGCCUUGAAAUACCACCCUUUAAUGUUUGAUGUUCUAACGUGGACCCGUAAUCCGGGUUGCGGACAGUGUCUGGUGGGUAGUUUGACUGGGGCGGUCUCCUCCUAAAGAGUAACGGAGGAGCACGAAGGUUGGCUAAUCCUGGUCGGACAUCAGGAGGUUAGUGCAAUGGCAUAAGCCAGCUUGACUGCGAGCGUGACGGCGCGAGCAGGUGCGAAAGCAGGUCAUAGUGAUCCGGUGGUUCUGAAUGGAAGGGCCAUCGCUCAACGGAUAAAAGGUACUCCGGGGAUAACAGGCUGAUACCGCCCAAGAGUUCAUAUCGACGGCGGUGUUUGGCACCUCGAUGUCGGCUCAUCACAUCCUGGGGCUGAAGUAGGUCCCAAGGGUAUGGCUGUUCGCCAUUUAAAGUGGUACGCGAGCUGGGUUUAGAACGUCGUGAGACAGUUCGGUCCCUAUCUGCCGUGGGCGCUGGAGAACUGAGGGGGGCUGCUCCUAGUACGAGAGGACCGGAGUGGACGCAUCACUGGUGUUCGGGUUGUCAUGCCAAUGGCACUGCCCGGUAGCUAAAUGCGGAAGAGAUAAGUGCUGAAAGCAUCUAAGCACGAAACUUGCCCCGAGAUGAGUUCUCCCUGAGACUUAGAGUCUCCUGAAGGAACGUUGAAGACGACGACGUUGAUAGGCCGGGUGUGUAAGCGCAGCGAUGCGUUGAGCUAACCGGUACUAAUGAACCGUGAGGCUUAACC
rnacentral:rRNA from 1 species